rnacentral:rRNA from 1 species
UAGGGGGCAAGCGUUAUCCGGUUUUACUGGGUGUAAAGGGAGCGUAGGCGGCGACGCAAGUCAGAAGUGAAAGCCCGUGGCUCAACCGCGGGACUGCUUUUGAAACUGUGUCGCUAGAUUGCGGGAGAGGCAAGUGGAAUUCCUAGUGUAGCGGUGAAAUGCGUAGAUAUUAGGAGGAACACCAGUGGCGAAGGCGGCUUGCUGGACCGUGAAUGACGCUGAGGCUCGAAAGCGUGGGGAGCAAA